GAUGAAAUGGGCGGCGCCGCGGCACAUAUCACAUUGGAUGCUGUUUUCAUCGUACAGCAUAAACUGUGAAGCUCGUACCUACUGUACAACAUGUCGAUUAAUGGUGCGAUGAGUACGCGGAGCUGUGGAAUGCUCGAAACCCACGCCCAAUGAUCGAGAGGCACCAUUCACUUCUGCAUUGACCCCAGUUUCGGUGUAAUUGACCCUAGGGAUUCGUGCUUCGUUUAAAGUCCAAAUACAAAAGAUAUUGCUAUAAAGGAAUAUGAAAAUUGCAGCAAUCCAUUCCACUGGGGAGAGCACUGUGCCUGCAAUUUACUCCAAUUGGUGCUCAAUGUUACCAAUUUCGCACACAGAGGGCGCUAGUAGUAGCUUUCAAUAAUCAGCAAGGCAAAAGCAUGAGGAAAUAUUGGUAAAAUUACAGCAUUAUAUUUCUGAAUCAUAUAAAGCUCAGCUACCAUUUUCCUUCCCUGAGAACUGGGUACCAAUGCAAAACCUGAUUCAAUACCUAGCAAAAAAUAUUACAAAAAACAAGUUGAGCAAUCAUACAAUGGUAGUAGGUAUGUCUAUGUACUUGCUAAAUUUGUGAGGUCAUGCCUCAGAGGCGCCGCUGGGUAGAGCUCAGCCAAGGUCAAAUUUAGUAGUUGGCGUUAACAUAGUACCACAUUUCAUUUUAGUGAUGUAUUGUGAUUAGUGGUUCUAUGAAAUCUACAUAGGAAGCCAUUAGUCAAGUACAUCAAUAUGUAAUGUUGUUGAAUAUAAUCAUAAUCACUUAUUAUACUUUUAACUAGUAGAAUGUUAUCUUUAUAACACUCUAAUGAUUCUUGGAAAAAUACAGUCUUAGUCAGUACUUGUGUAUUUACAAGUCGAUUUAGUACAUGAGCUACUCAUUAAAAGAUUAUUUGAUAAUUAAGUGAAAAUGGUCAAAAUAUAAAUUAAUAAAUUGAAUGAUAUCAGCCUUCAAAUCAAGUGAUUAAAUCAGUAAAACAACAAUUGAAAAACAAAGGGAAAAUUUUUGCCACAUUGUUAAUUCGGUAGUUACACUCUAAUUUUAUAGAUGGCGUUGUAAGUACCAUGCGAGUGUAGUUACAAUC